UAAAGCCAUAAAAAUGCUAGCUCACCGCUGAAACAAAAAACUUUUUCAAUCGCUCCAUCAGACCAUGUCCUCAGAAAAUGUCUAAAAUCUGCCCUGUG